ACACUGGUGAUUCAGGGGCAGAAUUCUCGCCUUCCACGCGGGAGACCCAGGUUUGAUUCCCGGUCAAUGCA
rnacentral:tRNA from 1 species